GGAGACGUGGCCGAGUGGCUGAAGGCGGCACCCUGCUAAGGUGUUAUACGGUGUAAAGCCGUAUCGUGGGUUCGAAUCCCACCGUCUCCGCCA
rnacentral:tRNA from 1 species